UGGAUGGCGAUUGUGGAGGUGGAGCGGCAUCAGGAGAGCACUUCACGUUCCGUAAAGUUGUGGUUUUUCGGUAAUGACGACGUUGUAUUGUGGGUUCUAUGCAUUCUACUCCGGCCGCGACGUUGAUAUGGGUCCCUAGUGCCUGAUCUUCGACAUCUCCGGCUGCCCGGCCGACACGUACACGCGUGCAUCACCGCGCAUGUACGCACGCGUAUGUGUGUCCUCGGAGGCCGGCUGCCUGCCUGGACAGAAACAGCUAGCAAGAGAGGCACUCGCCAACCUCUGAGUAAUGUUUGAUGCAGACCCUGCCGGCAUCAUGCAUCGGUCGCAUGCAAUCCUUGAAUAUUCCGCUCCUUCUCAUCCUUUCUUCCGGCCUGAAACGUACUUGAGUCAUGAGCUCUAGGUAAGUUUCCAUCCUAUCCACUUUUUUGUAGGAAGCUAUCCACGCUAGUACUCCCUCUGUAAACAAAUAUAAGAGUGUUUAGAUCACUAUUUUAGUGAUCUAAACACUUUUUACGGAGGGAGUAUUUAUUAGUGAUAGUAUUGGUUGGAUUUUUGUGUCGAGGAUCCAUUCCAUUCACACCUCUCGACCAAAAGCGUACUCCGGCCGGCGAGGUUCCCGUUCCAGUCUCCGGCGAGGGAAGCCGCGGCCUGCUCCUGGUGGCCGUCCUCUUAUUUUGCUGGUCGCUUCGUGUUCGUGGUGUAGGGCUCUGUAGGCGGCAGUCGCUUGCUUCAUUUGGGCCGUCGACUUGGAGCUAACUGUGAUCAUCCAUGGGGAAGAAAGGUAUAGUUGUGGCGACCACCAUCGUCGCCGUGAUGACUGUCAUCUUUGGAGUCAUCGGCGCGGUUUUCUUGGGACUGAGACGCUAUGAGGAUGACCGCGAUGACCGCAGCGUGUGUAAGUACGCGCGAUCGCCGGCGACGGCUUGCGGCGUCGUGGCGGCCGUGCUGGCGCUAACGACACAGAUUCUCGCCAGCGUGGCCAUCGGCUGCUGUGGGGCAUGGCAGAAUCCCAAGAGGGCCAAUCGCAUCGCCGCCGUCGUUUUCUACGUCAUCUCAUGGAUCCUAGUGAUCAUAGCGGUGCUGGUGUUUCUGGGAGGCGCCCUAUUAGGGAUUGAAGGAUAUACAGAGAAAGUUAUUGGGAAAACUAUUGAGAACGGUAGCUGUGUUGGAGGUGUCGGAGGUGAAGGAGUUUUCGUGGACGCGACAUUCCUGUUUCUUGUAGUUGUCGCCCUUGAGGUCUCCUCGUAUCUUCUUAUUCAGAAAGAUGAGCACCACCAAGCAGCCGCAAGCGAUAAUCCUCCUUCGAUACCAACCGCUACAUCUCCUUUGGCAACAACAGCUUCUUCUAAAGAUGAUGCCCACGCCUCCGCUCCCGCACCAGCAAAUCAAGUCUGACGUUAGCUCGCAACUAUGGAACAGUUGUCUUUGCCUUCCAAAAGGAGGAACAUGCUUUCUGGACCGUUGUAAGUGGAAGGCACUCGUUGCGGUCUUUCGAUCCAAAAUACUUUGUGGUUUUAGUCCAAAUUCAAACCAAAACCAGAAGAAAUAUUUUGAAAGGAGGGAGUACAUGUUUAUCAUAUUUAAGUACAUAAUGAAAUUGUCUUCUUAAUAUGUGUUUUGAGGGCUAUUUUAUGUCAUAUGGAUUGUGCAAUUUCAUAUACAAUAGAAAUUAUUUUCUAUA
rnacentral:rRNA from 1 species